AAGAAUUUAUUUUAAUUGUUAAAAUAUUAGAUUGUAAAUCUAAAGAUUUAGUUAUUCUUG
rnacentral:tRNA from 1 species